GAUAAACGCUGGCGGCGUGCAUGAGACAUGCAAGUCGAACGAAGGAUCGGGCUUGCUCGAUCCUUAGUGGCGGACGGCUGAGUAACGCGUAGGUGACCUACCCCGAAGUGGGGAAUAACUGCCCGAAAGGGUGGCUAAUACCGCAUGCGGUCGCACGUUCAUUCGUGCGAGUAAAGCCGCAAAGCGCUGCGGGAGGGGCCUGCGUCCGUUUAGCUCGUUGGUGGGGUCAUGGUUUACCAAGGCGACGAUCGGUAGGUUGUCUGAGAGGACGAUCACCCAGACUGGGACUGAGACACGGCCCAGACUCCUACGGGAGGCAGCAGUCGGGAAUUUUGCUCAAUGGGGGAAACCCUGAAGCAGCAACGCCGCGUGAGGGAUGAAGGCCUUCGGGUUGUAAACCUCUUUUGUCAGGGACGAUGAUGACGGUACCUGGCGAAUAAGCCACGGCUAACUACGUG
rnacentral:rRNA from 1 species